rnacentral:rRNA from 1 species
AACGAACGCUGGCGGCGUGCCUAAGCCAUGCAAGUCGAACGGGUUGUCGCAAGACAAUCAGUGGCGAACUGGUGAGUAAUACGUGGGUAAUCUGCCCGAGAGUGGGGAAUAGCCCUUCCAACGAGGGGGUAACACCGCAUAUUAUCGCGAAUCCGCAUGGAUUUGCGAUGAAAACAGGGGAUCGCAAGACCUUGUGCUCUCGGAUGAACCCGCGCCCCAUUAGCUAGUUGGUGAGGUAACGGCUCACCAAGGCGACGAUGGGUAGCCGGCCUGAGAGGGUGACCGGCCACACUGGGACUGAGAUACGGCCCAGACUCCUACGGGAGGCAGCAGGCGGGAAUAUUGGGCAAUGGACGAAAGUCUGACCCAGCGACGCCGCGUGAGGGAUGAAGCUUCUCGGAGCGUAAACCUCAAACGGAUAGGGACGAAAAGCCUAAUCGGCUAAUAUCCGGUAGGCCUGACGGUACCUGUUACGAAGCUCCGGCUAACUCCGUGCCAGCAGCCGC